GAGAAUGCCGGUGUGAGUAGCGAAAGACGGGUGAGAAUCCCGUCCACCGAUUGACUAAGGUUUCCAGAGGAAGGCUCGUCCGCUCUGGGUUAGUCGGGUCCUAAGCUGAGGCCGACAGGCGUAGGCGAUGGAUAACAGGUUGAUAUUCCUGUACCACCUAUAAUCGUUUUAAUCGAUGGGGGGACGCAGUAGGAUAGGCGAAGCGUGCGAUUGGAUUGCACGUCUAAGCAGUAAGGCUGAGUAUUAGGCAAAUCCGGUACUCGUUAAGGCUGAGCUGUGAUGGGGAGAAGACAUUGUGUCUUCGAGUCGUUGAUUUCACACUGCCGAGAAAAGCCUCUAGAUAGAAAAUAGGUGCCCGUACCGCAAACCGACACAGGUAGUCAAGAUGAGAAUUCUAAGGUGAGCGAGCGAACUCUCGUUAAGGAACUCGGCAAAAUGACCCCGUAACUUCGGGAGAAGGGGUGCUCUUUAGGGUUAACGCCCAGAAGAGCCGCAGUGAAUAGGCCCAAGCGACUGUUUAUCAAAAACACAGGUCUCUGCUAAACCGUAAGGUGAUGUAUAGGGGCUGACGCCUGCCCGGUGCUGGAAGGUUAAGAGGAGUGGUUAGCUUCUGCGAAGCUACGAAUCGAAGCCCCAGUAAACGGCGGCCGUAACUAUAACGGUCCUAAGGUAGCGAAAUUCCUUGUCGGGUAAGUUCCGACCCGCACGAAAGGCGUAACGAUUUGGGCACUGUCUCAACGAGAGACUCGGUGAAAUCAUAGUACCUGUGAAGAUGCAGGUUACCCGCGACAGGACGGAAAGACCCCGUGGAGCUUUACUGUAGCCUGAUAUUGAAAUUCGGCACAGCUUGUACAGGAUAGGUAGGAGCCUUUGAAACGUGAGCGCUAGCUUACGUGGAGGCGCUGGUGGGAUACUACCCUAGCUGUGUUGGCUUUCUAACCCGCACCACUUAUCGUGGUGGGAGACAGUGUCAGGCGGGCAGUUUGACUGGGGCGGUCGCCUCCUAAAAGGUAACGGAGGCGCUCAAAGGUUCCCUCAGAAUGGUUGGAAAUCAUUCAUAGAGUGUAAAGGCAUAAGGGAGCUUGACUGCGAGACCUACAAGUCGAGCAGGGUCGAAAGACGGAC
rnacentral:rRNA from 1 species